rnacentral:rRNA from 1 species
AACGAACGCUGGCGGCAUGCCUAACACAUGCAAGUCGAACGAGACCUUCGGGUCUAGUGGCGCACGGGUGCGUAACGCGUGGGAACCUGCCCUUAGGUUCGGAAUCACUCCCCGAAAGGGGUGCUAAUACCGGUUAAUGUCUUCGGACCAAAGAUUUAUCGCCUUUGGAUGGGCCCGCGUUGGAUUAGCUAGUUGGUAGGGUAAAAGCCUACCAAGGCGACGAUCCAUAGCUGGUCUGAGAGGAUGAUCAGCCACACUGGGACUGAGACACGGCCCAGACUCCUACGGGAGGCAGCAGUGGGGAAUAUUGGACAAUGGGCGAAAGCCUGAUCCAGCAAUGCCGCGUGAGUGAUGAAGGCCUUAGGGUUGUAAAGCUCUUUUACCCGGGAUGAUAAUGACAGUACCGGGAGAAUAAGCUCCGGCUAACUCCGUG